GCGCCGGUGGUGUAAGGCGAACAUCGCUGCCCGGAAAGCAGAAGAUGCGGGUUCGAGUCCCGCCCGGCGCA
rfam:Heligmosomoides polygyrus genome assembly, scaffold: HPBE_scaffold0003015